rnacentral:rRNA from 1 species
GUCCACGCCCUAACGAUGGAUACUCGACAUACGCGAUAUACAGUGUGUGUCUGAGCGAAAGCAUUAAGUAUCCCACCUGGGAAGUACGUCCGCAAGGAUGAAACUCAAAGGAAUUGGCGGGGUCCGCACAAGCGGUGGAGCAUGUGGUUUAAUUCGAUGAUACGCGAGGAACCUUACCUGGGCUAGAAUGUCGGGGGAAUAUGGGUGAAAGCUCAUAGCGUAGCAAUACGUCGCCGAUAAGGUGCUGCAUGGCUGUCGU